GAUGAACGCUGGCGGCGUGCCUAAUACAUGCAAGUCGAGCGAAUGGAUUAAGAGCUUGCUCUUAUGAAGUUAGCGGCGGACGGGUGAGUAACACGUGGGUAACCUGCCCAUAAGACUGGGAUAACUCCGGGAAACCGGGGCUAAUACCGGAUAACAUUUUGAACCGCAUGGUUCGAAAUCGAAAGGCGGCCUCGGCUGUCACUCAUGGAUGGACCCCCGUCGCAUUAGCUAGUUGGUGAGGUAACGGCGAACCAAGGCAACGAUGCGUAGCCGACCUGAGAGGGUGAUCGGCCACACUGGGACUGAGACACGGCCCAGACUCCUACGGGAGGCAGCAGUAGGGAAUCUUCCGCAAUGGACGAAAGUCUGACGGAGCAACGCCGCGUGAGUGAUGAAGGCUUUCGGGUCGUAAAACUCUGUUGUUAGGGAAGAACAAGUGCUAGUUGAAUAAGCUGGCACCUUGACGGUACCUAACCAGAAAGCCACGGCUAACUACGUGCCAGCCGCCGCAGUAA
rnacentral:rRNA from 1 species